AACGUAGGAGGCGAGCGUUAUCCGGAGUUACUGGGCGUAAAGCGCGUGUAGGUGGUUGGAUACGUCUGCUGUGAAAUGUCCCGGCUUAACCGGGAGGGUGCGGCAGAUACGGUCUGACUUGAGGGUGACAGAGGAGCGUAGAAUUCCGGGUGUAGUGGUGAAAUGCGUAGAGAUCCGGAGGAAUACCAGUGGCGAAGGCGACUACCUGGCCUGUUCUUGACGCUGAGGCGCGAAAGCUAGGGGAGCAAACGGG
rnacentral:rRNA from 1 species